rnacentral:rRNA from 1 species
GACGAACGCUGGCGGCGUGCUUAACACAUGCAAGUCGAACGGCAAGGCCCUGCGUUUGUGGGGUUCUCGAGUGGCGAACGGGUGAGUAACACGUGAGUAACCUGCCCUUGACUUUGGGAUAACUUCAGGAAGCUGGGGUUAAUACCGGAUAGGAGCCCCUGCUGCAUGGUGGGGGUUGGAAAGUUUCGGCGGUCGGGGCUGGACUGGCGGCUUAUCAGCUUGUUGGUGGGGUAGUGGCUUACCAAGGCUUUGACGGGUAGCCGGCCUGGGAGGGUGACCGGCCACAUGGGGACUGAGAUACGGCCCAGUGUCCUACGGGAGGCAGUGGUGGGGAAUAUUGCACAAUGGGCGGGAGCCUGAUGCAGCAACGUCGCGUGCGGGAUGACGGCCUUCGGGGUGUAAACCGCUUUCGGCUGUGACGAAGCGUGAGUGACGGUAAUGGGUAAAGAAGCACCGGCUAACUACGUG